rnacentral:rRNA from 1 species
CCUACGGGAGGCAGCAGUGGGGAAUAUUGGGCAAUGGGCGCAAGCCUGACCCAGCAACGCCGCGUGAAGGAAGAAGGCUUUCGGGUUGUAAACUUCUUUUAAGAGGGAAGAGCAGAAGACGGUACCUCUUGAAUAAGCCACGGCUAACUACGUGCCAGCAGCCGGGGUAAUACGUAGGUGGCAAGCGUUGUCCGGAUUUACUGGGUGUAAAGGGCGUGUAGGCGGGCUGACAAGUCAGAUGUGAAAUUCCGGGGCUCAACCCCGGACCUACCUUUGAAACUGUUGGUCUUGAGUUGCGGAGAGGCAGGCGGAAUUCCUAGUGUAGCGGUGAAAUGCGUAGAUAUUAGGAGGAACACCAGUGGCGAAGGCGGCCUGCUGGACGAUAACUGACGGUGAGGCGCGAAAGCGUGGGGAGCAAACAGGAUUAGAUACCCGGGUAGUC